rnacentral:rRNA from 1 species
GUGCCAGCCGCCGCGGUAAUACAGAGGGUGCGAGCGUUAAUCGGAAUUACUGGGCGUAAAGGGCGCGUAGGCGGUUAUGCGAGUGUGAUGUGAAAGCCCUGGGCUUAACCUAGGAAGAGCAUCGCAAACGGCGUGACUGGAGUAUUGGAGAGGGUAGCGGAAUUUCCGGUGUAGCGGUGAAAUGCGUAGAGAUCGGAAGGAACGUCGAUGGCGAAGGCAGCUACCUGGCCAAAUACUGACGCUGAGGCGCGAAAGCGUGGGGAGCAAACAGGAUUAGAUACCCUGGUAGUCC